rnacentral:rRNA from 1 species
UCAGGCCUAACACAUGCAAGUCGAGCGGAAACGAGCUAUCUGAACCUUCGGGGAACGAUAACGGCGUCGAGCGGCGGACGGGUGAGUAAUGCCUAGGAAAUUGCCCUGAUGUGGGGGAUAACCAUUGGAAACGAUGGCUAAUACCGCAUGAUGCCUACGGGCCAAAGAGGGGGACCUUCGGGCCUCUCGCGUCAGGAUAUGCCUAGGUGGGAUUAGCUAGUUGGUGAGGUAAGGGCUCACCAAGGCGACGAUCCCUAGCUGGUCUGAGAGGAUGAUCAGCCACACUGGAACUGAGACACGGUCCAGACUCCUACGGGAGGCAGCAGUGGGGAAUAUUGCACAAUGGGCGCAAGCCUGAUGCAGCCAUGCCGCGUGUGUGAAGAAGGCCUUCGGGUUGUAAAGCACUUUCAGUCGUGAGGAAGGUAGUGUAGUUAAUAGCUGCAUUAUUUGACGUUAGCGACAGAAGAAGCACCGGCUAACUCCGUGCCAGCAGCCGCGGUAAUACGGAGGGUGCGAGCGUUAAUCGGAAUUACUGGGCGUAAAGCGCAUGCAGGUGGUUUGUUAAGUCACAUGUGAAAGCCCGGGGCUCAACCUCCGAAUAGCAUUUGAAACUGGCAACUACUCCACCGCCCAGGCCGGCAUAACUUCCC